AAAAAAUCGAACUCGUGAUAAAAAUUCUCCACGCUCACUUGUUCCAACAUCUCAACCACAAGGACUUCAAAAUCUUCUUUCUUUAUUCUGUCAUGCAGCCAACCAUUCCUCUUCCAUUUUCCCACAAAACGCCCCAUUUUGUGCAGACUUCUCCUUUCUUCAUCUCUCUUUCGUAUUUCUUUCUCUCCCACGAUUCUCUCUGCUCUAAUUUCGCCAGAAAACUUUUUGUUGCCAAGGUCCUGACCCUUUUUUCAUAGGAUUUGUUUCAUGACUGAUAAAAAAAUUGCUGGAAAUAAUGAUAGAAACAAGGCGUUCUGAUGAGUAAAUGUCAAUUAUUUACUAUGAAUUCUAGAUAUGGUGGAUGGGUUUACUGUUUGUUUCCAUAUCUGCAAGAAUUUUUGGGUUUUACGAUUCUUUUUCUCGUCCUUCUCUUCGUGAUUUUUGCUUUUCAGUUUUGAAUUAGAUGAAGGUUUAACACAUCGGGUGAAGACUAUUUUCAUAUCUUUCAGUAAUUGUUUGAUUUCAAAGUCAUGGCAUGUUUUUAGUAACAAUAAUAUUAAUGAGCAUUCAUUCAUUUAAUUUAAUUUUUUUUCAAGAAACUUUCUAGAAUUUUUUAUUUUUUUUUUCAAAUCUUGUUAAAUCCGACUUCUUUUCCAAUUCUCGAUUUAAAGUGCCAUUUUUUCCCCAAAUCUUGUGCAGUCAAGCUCUUCUUCUCCAAUUAUUGAUUAGAAUUUAAAUUGGACUCAUCACCAUGUGUUUUUCCUUCUCUCUUCUUGCUUAUGACCAAUGAUUUAAUCUACAUAAUUAAUUUAAUCAAUAUGUAGUAGAUUGUUGAAGUUUGAAUAUUUAUUGUUAAAAUUCAUUUUUCUUCAUUAUGUGAAGAUGGGAAAUAAAGUUUCAUGUAUUUGUUUUGAAGCCACUUAUCUGAAAGCCAAAUAUCGUCAAUUUUACUGCAGUGGUUAGUAGCAGCAUUUUCCUUUACCCCCACAUGUUUUUAUGUGCUAUUGAGUGAUACUUUAUAUUUUUUGUUUUAUCAUUCUGACACUGAAGUUUAUUGAAAAACUGCAGCCUUCACCCUAAUUUCAAGCUAAUGGCAUGUGCUCAUUUGGUUUCAUUAUGAUAGAUAUUACCUAUAUUUCUUGUUGGCGUCAUAAUCCUUUUUGGUUCGCUUGGAAUUCAAUUAGUCACCUAUUGCUAGUCCUUCUUAGUAUUCUUUUAUAUUCAUUAGAUUGGAUUUGAUGACUGCUUGAUGUAGGCAUAAGCUUGCUGAUCAUUUUAUACAAUCAAUAAUUACUAGAUGUCGAAUAUCUGUGAGAUUUCCUUAAUUCAGAGUGCCUUAUUUGUAGUUAUUUUGCUUGAAAGGUAUCUAAAAAAAUAUGUUGUAUCACACCAAUGAUUGUAUUCAAUUUUUUAUUCUUACAUAUCUAUACAAUCUGUUGAUGCUUUUUACAGAAGAUUCUUGAUUCUAUGAUCAUUCUUUAUCGGUUUGUUAUUGUUCUGGAUCGUGUGUUUAAAGACAACGACGAUAUAAAUGCUAAGUAGUCUGGAGUACCAUGCAUGUACAUAUUCUUGGUCCAUGCAUUUGAAGUUUAUGAAAUAUAUACAUUGCAAACUCAUUUAAUCAUUUUGUUGUUAGAGAUGCAGAAGAUCACAUAUAUAGGCUACUUCAACAUGAGUGGCGUAAGAAAGCAUUAGGAGUAGUUGAAGCUGGUCAGAGAUGCAAAGAGCUUCUUGAUGAGGGGUAUUACGUUUGAAUGGGUUUUUGGUGAGAAUUGAUUAGACAAUGAUGCAUGGUGUUAUCACUUGUGCUUCCAUUUUUCUUGUUCUAAUUUUCGUUUUUAGUUCAUUUUGUAGUCAAUAGAUUGAUUGAUAUAAUAUUCAGGUAUGAUGUAAGUAAUUUUAUUAUGCUUAUAUCUCUAUACAUUUACAUGGUUAACUCAUAUUUGUUUUGAUCAAACAACCAUGACUCGAGUAGUGUCAUGAAUUCGUCUCUUAAUUUACUGGAAGUGUAGUUUGUUAAAAUGUCAACAUACACCAAAAAGUAAAAAACGUUGAAAUGAAUGUUAUCCCUAAUCAAGUGAAUAAGGUAAUUUUUUAAGCUUACUUAUUUCACAUUUUUAACAUAAGGAGGUACUUUAUGCUGGAAAUUAUAUGGCCAUUGAGAGUGACUAGAUUAUAAUUUAGUGUAAGAUUGUAGUUAAUAUUUUUAAUGGUGUCAUAAUGCAUCAUAAAAUUUUCAAGAUAUAGAUGCUAAUGGUAUUUAAAUGUUAUAGGAAGAAGGACAUAUCAUUACCUUUUAGUCUCUGCUUCGAAACACCGGUGUCAUAUUGAAGAAGAGUUAAUUUGCUAUUUUGGACUUGAUUUGUGUUUGUUGUCUCUUUACAAUACUUGUAGAGAAAUUGUAGAAUGGUGAUAAUUUCUUCUUACAUUUUAGUUUGUUGGUAAUUUUAGGGAGUUUGCUGAAAGGAAGCUUCAAGGAAUGACUUUUCCAAAGAUGAUCACUACCAUUCUAGAGAAAAAUUGCUAGUACUUUUACUUUUGUCUUUAAUAUGCUAGGUAAUCAAUUUCACCUAGGGUUGGCAACGGUUCGGUUAUGGGUCGGUUCGACCAAAACCAUAACUGCACCAUCAAUUUUUUGACCAUACCAUAACCGCACUAUAACCACGUAAAUCGGUUCGGUUCGUAUCUCGGUUCGGCACGGUUCGAUUCGGUUAAUAACCACGAAAAUAAAUUAUUUUUUAAUAGUAAUAUUUUGGAGAAUAUGUAGUUAAAAAAUAAGAAAAAGUAUUAGACUUAUUAUAAUAUUAAUUUAUUCAAGAAUGUGCGGUUGAAAAUAAGAAGGGAAAAAAUGUAUUUUUGAACAAUGGAGCCCAAAUAGGGACUAUUUCUCAAGUGGUGUUGUACUGAUAAUGGUACACACGAGUUCUAUGAAUUCAAUUUAUUAACGAGAUAUCAAAUCUUACAUGUGAUGAUAUCUUUAAUUUAUUUCAUCGACUAUAGUUAUAGUUUUUCGAAUUUUUUUUUUUUUUGGUUGGUUGUAGGGAUGAUGGGAUUAUAUGUAAACAAACACAACAAGAUGGUUGAAUAUGCAACUUUGAUAAUGAAUUUUUUAGACAUGCUUUAGCUUAUGAGUCGAUUGAAGUUGGGAACUAUUUGAAAGCAGUUGAAUUGAUGAAGUUUGGAUUUGAAAAGAUGCAAGUGUUCUUUGUCAAACCAAAGCUCAAUGUACUGCUCAAUUUGGUUGGCUUGCACUACUAAAUCGUAUAACUUGAUGUUAUUAUUCUUGCUUGUUGGUGGAAAGUAUAAAAUGUUGCUUUUCUCUUUGUUGUUUUAGAUUUACUAGUUAAAAUUGAACGUGCAUUGCACGCUAUUCUAAAAUAUUUUAUAAGUGAUGUAAAAGUAAUAUUUGGUACUAAUUUGUUGGAGGAUUUGAUGAGUUUUAGAUGAAUUAAAAAAUAAAAUUUAGCAUAGAAAUUUAAGAGAAAA
rnacentral:lncRNA from 1 species